rnacentral:rRNA from 1 species
GCUGAACGCUGGCGGCGUCCUUAACACAUGCACGUCGAACGAUGAAGCCCAGCUAGCUGGGUGGACUAGUGGCGAACGGGUGACUCAUCCCCGAGUAACCUGCUCUUAACCCUAAGAUCAACCUCGGCCACUGGGUCUAAUACCGGGUACGUGCGUCCACCACCUGGUGGGGGUUGGAAAGAUUUCUCGGUUUUGGAUGGACUCGCGGCCUACCAGCUUGUCGGUGAGGUGAUGGCUCAUCAAGGCGACGACGGGUAGCCGGCCUGAGAGGGUGACCGGCCACACUGGGACUGAGACACGGCACAGACUCCUACGGGGGGCAGCGGUGGGGAAUAUUGCACAAUGGGCGCAAGCCUGAUGCAGCGACGCCGCGUGAGGGAUGACGGCCUUCGGGUUGUAAACCUCUUUCAGUAGGGAAGAAGCGAAAGUGACGGUACCUUCAGAAGAAGCACCGGCUAACUACGUG